rnacentral:rRNA from 1 species
GAUGAACGCUGGCGGCGUGCCUAAUACAUGCAAGUCGAGCGAACAGACGAGGAGCUUGCUCCUCUGACGUUAGCGGCGGACGGGUGAGUAACACGUGGAUAACCUACCUAUAAGACUGGGAUAACUUCGGGAAACCGGAGCUAAUACCGGAUAAUAUAUUGAACCGCAUGGUUCAAUAGUGAAAGACGGUUUUGCUGUCACUUAUAGAUGGAUCCGCGCCGCAUUAGCUAGUUGGUAAGGUAACGGCUUACCAAGGCAACGAUGCGUAGCCGACCUGAGAGGGUGAUCGGCCACACUGGAACUGAGACACGGUCCAGACUCCUACGGGAGGCAGCAGUAGGGAAUCUUCCGCAAUGGGCGAAGGCCUGACGGAGCAACGCCGCGUGAGUGAUGAAGGUCUUCGGAUCGUAAAACUCUGUUAUUAGGGAAGAACAAGUGUGUAAGUAACUAUGCACGUCUUGACGGCACCUAAUCAGAAAGCCACGGCUAACUACGUGCCAGCCGCCGCUGUAA